rnacentral:rRNA from 1 species
GAGUUUGAUCUUGGCUCAGAUUGAACGCUGGCGGCAGGCCUAACACAUGCAAGUCGAGCGGAUGACGGGAGCUUGCUCCUUGAUUCAGCGGCGGACGGGUGAGUAAUGCAUCGGAAACGUAUCCUGGAGUGGGGGAUAACGUAGCGAAAGUUACGCUAAUACCGCAUAUUCUGUGAGCAGGAAAGCGGGGGACCUUCGGGCCUCGCGCUCUUGGAGCGGCCGAUGUCGGAUUAGCUAGUUGGUGAGGUAAAGGCUCACCAAGGCGACGAUCCGUAGCAGGUCUGAGAGGAUGAUCUGCCACACUGGAACUGAGACACGGUCCAGACUCCUACGGGAGGCAGCAGUGGGGAAUUUUGGACAAUGGGGGCAACCCUGAUCCAGCCAUGCCGCGUGAGUGAAGAAGGCC